rnacentral:tRNA from 1 species
UCUAAGGAAGACCAAAAUAUUUCUUUUGGUCUCAAAAAAUAUGUUAAUGUGGCCGUCCUCAUUUCUCUUCUUAUUAAUUAAAGUGUCUCAUAAAUGCUUAGGGGCCGGUAGCUCAGGUGGUUAGAGCGCACCCCUGAUAAGGGUGAGGUCGCACGUUCGAGUCGUGCUCGGCCCACCAUUUUUCAUGGGGGAUUAGCUCAGCUGGGAGAGCGCCUGAUUUGCAUUCAGGAGGUCAGCGGUUCGAUCCCGCUAUCCUCCACCAAUUUUGACAUUUUUAGCUUUUUUAAAUUGUAAAUAAUGAAUAUCAAUUUUGAUUGUUCAAACAGUAAGAACAAUCAAACAAUAUCUAUAUCCGAUUGUUCGAAUAGAUGAACAAUCAAUAAAUAUUCGAAUAGAUGAAUAUUUAAUUAAAAAUUUAAUUUAGACAGAAAAUUAUUUUCUG